GUGCUCACUUCAGCAGCACAUAUACUAAAAUUGGAAAGAUACAGAGAACAUUAACAGGAUGUCUGCACAAGUAUGACAUACAAAUUCAUGAAACAUUCCAUAUUAAA
ensembl:snRNA U6 U6 spliceosomal RNA